CAGCCGCCGCGGGAAUACGAAGGGGGCUAGCGUUGUUCGGAUUUACUGGGCGUAAAGGGCGCGUAGGCGGGCUGAUAAGUCAGGGGUGAAAUCCCAAGGCUCAACCUUGGAACUGCCUUUGAUACUGUUUGUCUUGAGUUCGAGAGAGGUAAGUGGAACUGCGAGUGUAGAGGUGAAAUUCGUAGAUAUUCGCAAGAACACCAGUGGCGAAGGCGGCUUACUGGCUCGAAACUGACGCUGAGGCGCGAAAGCGUGGGGAGCAAACAGGAUUAGAGACCCGCGUAGUCCUUGUCUCUUAUAC
rnacentral:rRNA from 1 species